rnacentral:sRNA from 1 species
AUGUACCACGCGUGCACUCCGGUUCCUCCGCGCCGUCCGCACCCGCCUGACGACCGCUCGCAAUUUUUUUGGUAGCC